rnacentral:pre_miRNA from 1 species
AAUAAGUAGUUUUGUACUAUUCACGUUCAACGUUUAACCGUUCAUCUUAUUUGAAAUUUUUUUAUGAUUAGUAUUUUUAUUACUAUUAGAUGAUAAAACAUGAAUAGUACUUUAUGUGUGACUAAAUAUUUUCACAAAUUUUUUAAAUAAGACGGAUGGUCAAACGUUGGGCACGGAUAUCCACGGCUGCACUUAUU